rnacentral:rRNA from 1 species
UUUAUUGGAGAGUUUGAUCCUGGCUCAGGACGAACGCUGGCGGCGUGCCUAAUACAUGCAAGUCGAGCGGACCUUUUAAAAGCUUGCUUUUGAAAGGUCAGCGGCGGACGGGUGAGUAACACGUGGGCAACCUGCCUGUAAGACUGGGAUAACUUCGGGAAACCGGAGCUAAUACCGGAUAAUAUAAGGAACCUCCUGGUUCUUUAUUGAAAGAUGGUUUCGGCUAUCACUUACAGAUGGGCCC